rnacentral:rRNA from 1 species
AUUGAACGCUGGCGGAAUGCUUUACACAUGCAAGUCGAACGGCAGCACGGGGGCAACCCUGGUGGCGAGUGGCGAACAGGUGAGUAAUACAUCGGAACGUGCCCAGUCGUGGGGGAUAACGUAGCGAAAGUUACGCUAAUACCGCAUACGAUCUACGGAUGAAAGCGGGGGACCGUAAGGCCUCGCGCGAUUGGAGCGGCCGAUGUCAGAUUAGGUAGUUGGUGAGGUAAAGGCUCACCAAGCCGACGAUCUGUAACUGGUCUGAGAGGACGACCAGCCACACUGGGACUGAGACACGGCCCAGACUCCUACGGGAGGCAGCAGUGGGGAAUUUUGGACAAUGGGCGCAAGCCUGAUCCAGCCAUUCCGCGUGCAGGACGAAGGCCUUCGGGUUGUAAACUGCUUUUGUACGGAACGAAAAGGCUCUGGUUAAUACCCGGGGCUCAUGACGGUACCGUAAGAAUAAGCACCGGCUAACUACGUGCCAGCCGCCGCCGUAA